GAUGAGCGCUAGCUACAGGCUUAACACAUGCAAGUCGCGGGGCAGCAUGGGGGUUGCCUGCAAUCCCCGAUGGCGACCGGCGCACGGGUGAGUAACGCGUAUCCAACCUGCCCUUCACCACGGGAUAACCCGGCGAAAGUCGGACUAAUACCGUAUGUUGUCCAUUGACGGCAUCCGAUUUGGACGAAAGGUUUGGCGGUGAAGGAUGGGGAUGCGUCCGAUUAGCUGGACGGCGGGGUGACGGCCCACCGUGGCGACGAUCGGUAGGGGUUCUGAGAGGAAGGUCCCCCACACUGGAACUGAGACACGGUCCAGACUCCUACGGGAGGCAGCAGUGAGGAAUAUUGGUCAAUGGGCGUAAGCCUGAACCAGCCAAGUAGCGUGCAGGAUGACGGCCCUAUGGGUUGUAAACUGCUUUUAUGCGGGGAUAAAGUGGCCCACGUGUGGGUUUUUGCAGGUACCGCAUGAAUAAGGACCGGCUAAUUCCGUG
rnacentral:rRNA from 1 species